AUACGGAGGAUCCGAGCGUUAUCCGGAUUUAUUGGGUUUAAAGGGAGCGUAGGUGGAUUGUUAAGUCAGUUGUGAAAGUUUGCGGCUCAACCGUAAAAUUGCAGUUGAAACUGGCAGUCUUGAGUAUAGUAGAGGUGGGCGGAAUUCGUGGUGUAGCGGUGAAAUGCUUAGAUAUCACGAAGAACUCCGAUUGCGAAGGCAGCUCACUAGACUGCAACUGACACUGAUGCUCGAAAGUGUGGGUAUCAAACAGGAUUAGAUACCCUGGUAGUCCACACAGUAAACGAUGAAUACUCGCUGUUUGCGAUAUACAGUAAGCGGCCAAGCGAAAGCAUUAAGUAUUCCACCUGGGGAGUACGCCGGCAACGGUGAAACUCAAAGGAAUUGACGGGG
rnacentral:rRNA from 1 species